rnacentral:rRNA from 1 species
CAGCCGUAAACUAUGCUCGCUAGGUGUCAGGCAUGGCGCGACCAUGUCUGGUGCCGCAGGGAAGCCGUGAAGCGAGCCACCUGGGAAGUACGGCCGCAAGGCUGAAACUUAAAGGAAUUGGCGGGGGAGCACAACAACGGGUGGAGCCUGCGGUUUAAUUGGACUCAACGCCGGACAACUCACCGGGAACGACAGCAAUAUGUAGGCCAGGCUGAAGACCUUGCCUGAAUCGCUGAGAGGAGGUGCAUGGCGUAGACGUCU